rnacentral:lncRNA from 1 species
AGAACGAUACAGAAAAAAUGGGUACGAAGGAAUCUGACAAAUACACAACUCAUCUUCAAUAGAAAUGGUAGAAUAAGGAGAAGGGAGGGUGGAGAAAGGUUCAGAACAGAGGUGUCGUUUCACCCCUCAGACUGCAGAGAGGGAGGGGGGGGACGACGACAGGUCAGAGAGGGAGGGGGGGGACGACGACAGGUCAGAGAGGGAGGGUGGAGAAAGGUUCAGAACAGAGGUGUCGUUUCACCCCUCAGACUGCAGAGGGAGGGGGGGGACGACAGGUCAGAGAGGGAGGGGGGGGACGACGACAGGUCAGAGAGGGGGGGGGGGGACGACGACAGGUCAGAGAGGGAGGGGGGGACGACGACAGGUCAGAGAGGGAGGGGGGGGACGACGACAGGUCAGAGAGGGAGGGGGGGGGACGACGACAGGUCAGAGAGGGAGGGGGGGGGACGACGACAGGUCAGAGAGGGAGGGUGGAGAAAGGUUCAGAACAGAGGUGUCGUUUCACCCCUCAGACUGCAGAGAGGGAGGGGGGGGACGACGACAGGUCAGAGAGGGAGGGGGGG